rnacentral:rRNA from 1 species
GGAGAGUUUGAUCCUGGCUCAGGAUGAACGCUAGCGGCAGGCCUAAUACAUGCAAGUCGAGGGGUAACAGGUGUAGCAAUACAUGCUGACGACCGGCGCACGGGUGCGUAACACGUAUAUAAUCUACCUUUUACUGGAGAAUAGCCCGAAGAAAUUCGGAUUAAUACUCCAUAAUAAUAUUGAGGGGCAUCUCUUGAUAUUUAAAGUUCAGACGGUAAAAGAUGAGUAUGCGCGAUAUUAGCUAGUUGGUGAGGUAGCGGCUCACCAAGGCGACGAUAUCUAGGGGUACUGAGAGGUUACACCCCCACACUGGUACUGAGACACGGACCAGACUCCUACGGGAGGCAGCAGUAAGGAAUAUUGGACAAUGGUCGCAAGACUGAUCCAGCCAUGCCGCGUGCAGGAUGACUGCCCUAUGGGUUGUAAACUGCUUUUAUACGGGAAUAAACCCGGGUACGUGUACCCGGCUGAAUGUACUGUAAGAAUAAGGGUCGGCUAACUUCGUGCCAGCAGCCGCGGUAAGACGAAGGACCCAAGCGUUAUCCGGAUUCAUUGGGUUUAAAGGGUGCGUAGGCGGGUAGAUAAGUCAGUGGUGAAAGCCCAACGCUUAACGUUGGAACUGCCAUUGAUACUGUCGAUCUUGAAUGUGUUUGAUGUGGGCGGAAUAUGACAUGUAGCGGUGAAAUGCUUAGAUAUGUCAUAGAACACCGAUUGCGAAGGCAGCUCACAAAGCCACUAUUGACGCUGAGGCACGAAAGCGUGGGGAUCAAACAGGAUUAGAUACCCUGGUAGUCCACGCCGUAAACUUUGAUCACACGCUGUUGGCGAUACACUGUCAGCGGCUAAGCGAAAGCGUUAAGUGAUCCACCUGGGGAGUACGGUCGCAAGACUGAAACUCAAAGGAAUUGACGGGGGCCCGCACAAGCGGUGGAGCAUGUGGUUUAAUUCGAUGAUACGCGAGGAACCUUACCAGGGCUUGAAAGUUAGCGACUUACCGUGAAAGCGGUGAUCCCUUCGGGGCGCGAAACUAGGUGCUGCAUGGCUGUCGUCAGCUCGUGCCGUGAGGUGUUGGGUUAAGUCCCGCAACGAGCGCAACCCCUACUUCUAGUUGCCAACAGGUAAUGCUGGGGACUCUAGAGGAACUGCCCGCGCAAGCGGUGAGGAAGGUGGGGACGACGUCAAGUCAUCACGGCCCUUACGUCCUGGGCUACACACGUGCUACAAUGGCGGAGACAACGGGCAGCUACACUGCGAAGUGAUGCUAAUCUCUAAACUCCGUCUCAGUUCGGAUUGAAGUCUGCAACUCGACUUCAUGAAGCUGGAAUCGCUAGUAAUCGCGUAUCAGCAAUGACGCGGUGAAUACGUUCCCGGGCCUUGUACACACCGCCCGUCAAACAAUGGAAGCUGGGAGUACCUAAAGUCAGUAGUCGCAAGACGCUGCCUAGGGUAAAACCGGUAACUGGUGUUAAGUCGUAACAAGGUAGCCGUACCGGAAGGUGCGGCUG